rnacentral:rRNA from 1 species
UACGUAGGGGGCAAGCGUUGUCCGGAUUUAUUGGGCGUAAAGAGCGUGUAGGCGGCCAUACAGGUCAGCUGUGAAAACUCGAGGCUCAACCUCGAGACGUCGGUUGAAACCGUAUGGCUAGAGUCCGGAAGAGGAGAGUGGAAUUCCCGGUGUAGCGGUGAAAUGCGCAGAUAUCGGGAGGAACACCAGAGGCGAAGGCGGCGACCUGGACAGAUACUGACACUCAACUACGAAAGCGUGGGUAGCAAACAGG